rnacentral:lncRNA from 1 species
GACGUAUUUGUCAUGGGGUCCACUACUACCCCAGAGGAAAAAAGGCCAUUUGGGCCACAACAAGAGUGGUAGCAGACCGGAGACAUCUAGCCAACCCAGCAGACCCUGCCCGGCCACCUGGAACGGCUGCUAUUCCAGACGUAGACCCAGACUGGGACUAUCAGGAGGGGCAGAGAGGAAGAGCCUACAUUCAGUACAUGAUGGGUAAAAGCACUCCCCACUGCCCAGGAGACAGCCGAUACCAUCGCCAACACUCUCUUAACACACCUCAUUCCACGGCCUCAAUCAUCAGGCAAGGUAAACGGGCUAACGGCAUCCUCAAGGCUCAUCUGACCAGGUUAACGGCAGAACUUUGUCUCUCCUGGGUCGAUCUCCUGCCAGCAGCCCUGACCCACAUACGGACAACUCCUCAUGCCAAGACGGAUUUGAGACCUUUUGAACUGCUGUACGGACCUUGUAUUUUUCAGAUCAUGCUCCGGAGGGUCAGGGAGCUGACCCAGACGGCUACUGGACAGAUGUUGAUGGUGGCUGCAUACUCCAGACUCCCGUCCAGAGACCCUGAGGGCCCCUAAAGGUCACCGGGAUCCGGCCAUGACCCUCAGCCCCAGCGAUGCCCCAG